GAUGAACGCUGGCGGCGUGCCUAAUACAUGCAAGUCGAGCGAACAGACGAGGAGCUUGCUCCUCUGACGUUAGCGGCGGACGGGUGAGUCACACGUGGAUAACCUCCCUAUAAGACUGGGAUAACUUCGGGACACCGGCGCUAAUCCCGGAUAAUAUAUUGAACCGCAUGGUUCAAUAGUGAAAGACGGUUUUUCUGUCACUUAUAGAUGGAUCCGCGCCGCAUUAGCUAGUUGGUAGGGUAACGGCUUACCAAGGCUACGAUGGGUAGCCGGACUGAGAGGGUCACCGGCCGCAUUAGGACUGAGAAACGGCCCAGACUGCUACGGUAGGCAGCAGUGGGGAAUAAUGCACGAUGGGCGGAAGGCUGAUGCAACAGCGCCACAUGCGGGAUGACUUCAGUCGGGUUGUGAACAGGAUUAGCCUGUAACGAAGCGCGAGCGACAGUAAUGGGUAAUGAAACACCGGCUAACUACGUG
rnacentral:rRNA from 1 species